rnacentral:pre_miRNA from 1 species
CAUCCGAUAACAAGUGUUGGAUAGGGAAUAAUAAUAAGUACGAAUCCAACACUUCCAAUCGGAUCGU